rnacentral:misc_RNA from 1 species
CUCGAGAUCCGUAUCGCUGACCGAUGGCCCUGGCGAUUCGUGUAAGCGAAACGGGAAGUAUCGCCGGAGAUUUUAACCGGGGGUAACCCGUCCGUUUCACGAGUCUUGACGGCAUUAUCUAACCACACAAUGCCUCGCAUUUCCUGAGGUUUAAACCAAAUCUUGAUAUAGUUCUUCCUCUUUUCCCACAGCUUUGCCGAGGCAGCGAUGCCAAAAACUAUGUCGUGAAUCUCCGUCGGCUGAUGGGUUUCUUGACUGCCUCUCAGGUGAAUGUUUGAAGCCGUUUGAUUUUGAAUCAAGGGCUGAGAAUGAUUAGAGAUUGAGA